rnacentral:rRNA from 1 species
AUGAACAGUACAAGCCAGGAAAAAAAUCUCGAACAAAUGGAUCAUCGACGAUUGUUUGGGAAUUUUCAUAAUGAAACAACAUACGCAGAAGUGGUGGCAAAAAAAUAUCAGCAUCGACUUAAAAAAACAUGGAUCACCGAUCUUUUUCAUGAUUUUGUGCUUUUCAUAAUGCGGAUCGACAUGGAAAACAAGAGCAAGGAGGUGGUGCCGCCAAUGGAGCAUGACAAGGGCAAGUAUGUGGUGCCACCCUUGGAGGUGGUGCCGCAGACGCCCGUCCAGGUGCCGCCCACAGACGGCGACAUGUUGCCGGAGGAGCCCCCCAGCGGCAAGUGUCGGAACAAUGGCCACUACCAUGAGAAGGGUGGCCCAACCCACUAA